AAAGAACUUUGGAGAGAGAGUUAAAAGCACGUGAAACCGUUGAAAGGGAAACGCGCUCGGCUAGCAAUGUGUCACGACGGUUCAGCCAGUUCGCCUGCGGCAUGGGCGGUCGUCGGAUCCGAAUGGACCGCGAUCGUCUACGUCUGUGGGCGAAAUGCGGUGCACUCUGUCGUGGCACGCGUCAGCGUCGGUUCGCCGGCGGGCGACAAGGCGCGGAGGGAAGGUGGCUCGCAGCCUGGCUGCGAGUGUUAUAGCCCACCGCGCUGGGUCUGCCGCGGACCGAGGAGAGAGAGGAUCGCUGCAGCGCAUGCCGCAAGGCUAGCUGCCCGCCGUCUGGCUUGUGUCACGGGCUGAGGACUGCACGCAGUGUUCGGCCCGGCGGCGCGGUCCGGCAGUGGAGCGGUAUAA
rnacentral:rRNA from 1 species